GUCUUGAGUCCAGAGGUCUCGGGUCUUGCGGAAACGCGAAACUCAGGACGGAAAACCCAAGACGCUUUUGCACUAUGGUUAGCAUGGAGGCCUGUGGAGCCUUAGACCCGAGUUCGAAUCUCGGUCGUGGCC
rnacentral:tRNA from 1 species